CGGUUAAAAAGCUCGUAGUUGGAUCUAGGUUACGUGCUGCAGUUCGCAAUUUGCGUCAACUGUAGUCGUGACUUCUAAUUUGCUGGUUUGAGGUUGGGUUCGCCCUUCAACUGCCAUCAGGUUUACCUUGAAUAAAUCAAAGUGCUCAAUACAAGCGUUUGCUUGAAUAGCUCAUCAUGGAAUAAUGAAACAGGACUUCGGUUCUUUUUGUUGGUUCUAGAACUGAUUUAAUGGUUAAAAGGGACAAACCGGGGGCAUUCGUAUCAUUACGCGAGAGGUGAAAUUCGUGGACCGUAGUGAGACGCCCAAUAGCGAAAGCAUUUGCCAGAUAUGUCUUCAUUAAUCAAGAACGAAAGUCAGAGGUUCGAAGGCGAAUAUAUACCGCCCUAGUUCUGACCGUAAACGAUGCCAUCUCGCGAUUCGGAAGGUUUUUGCCCUGCCCAGGAGCUAUUGGAAACGAAGUCUUUC
rnacentral:ncRNA from 1 species